GUAACGGCCGCGCCGGCGUCUGCGCCCCGGGGGGAAGAUGCGGCCUGCGGCGCCCGCCGCCUCUCCCCCGGCCUCAUGGCGGGCCCGGGGCCACUGAGGAGGAAGGUCCCGGCCGCCGGACUGCGGGCCAGCGGGCACCAGUGAAAUCCCAUUCUCUGGCUGGAGACACAGAUGGCCUCAAAUGAGAGAGAUGCUAUAUCGUGGUACCAAAAGAAGAUUGGAGCAUAUGAUCAGCAGAUAUGGGAAAAGUCAAUCGAACAGACUCAGAUUAAGGGCUUCAAAAACAAACCAAAAAAGAUGGGUCACAUAAAACCAGACUUGAUUGAUGUGGACUUAAUCAGAGGCUCAACAUUUGCCAAAGCCAAACCUGAAAUUCCAUGGACAUCUCUGACUCGAAAGGGGCUUGUUCGAGUUGUCUUUUUCCCGUUGUUCAGCAAUUGGUGGAUUCAGGUUACCUCUUUAAGAAUCUUUGUUUGGCUGCUACUGCUUUACCUCAUGCAAGUUAUAGCACUCGUGUUAUAUUUUAUGAUGCCUAUUGUGAAUGUAAGCGAAGUACUUGGACCCUUGUGCCUUAUGUUACUCAUGGGAACUGUCCACUGUCAAAUUGUGUCUACUCAGAUAACAAGGCCAUCGGGAAACAAUGGAAAUCGGAGAAGAAGAAAAUUACGAAAAACUGUAAAUGGUGACGGGAGCCGAGAAAAUGGAAAUAACUCCUCUGAUAAAGUCAGAGGAGUAGAAACUUUGGAAUCUAUACCCUUUAUUGGUGGAUUUUGGGACAGUCUCUUUGGCAACAGGAUUAAAAGAGUGAAAUUAAUAUGUAACAAAGGAACUGAAACUGAUAAUGACCCAAGUUGUCUGCAUCCUAUCAUUAAGAAGAGACAAUGUCGACCAGAGAUUAGAAUGUGGCAAACAAAAGAGAAAGCAAAAUUUUCAGAUGGAGAAAAGUGCCAUAGGGAGGCUUUUAGGCAUCUGGGUAAUGGGAUUUCAGAUGAUCUGUCAAGCGAGGAGGACGGUGAAGCCCGGACACAGAUGAUGAUGUUGCGCCGGAGUGUGGAAGGGGCCUCAAGUGACAACGGCUGUGAAGUUAAGAAUAGAAAGUCAAUACUUUCUAGGCACCUAAACACUCAGGUAAAGAAAACCACCACCAAGUGGUGUCACAUUGCACGGGAUUCAGAUAGUCUGGCUGAAUCAGAGUUUGAAUCGGCAGCCUUCAGUCAGGGCUCUAGGUCUGGCAUGAGUGGUGGCUCUCGAAGCCUGACCAUGUCCAGAAGAGACUCAGAAAGCACGCGCCAUGACUCAGAGACCGAGGAUAUGCUAUGGGACGACCUGCUGCAUGGCCCAGAGUGCCGGUCAUCUGUCACCAGUGACAGUGAGGGGGCCCAUGUGAACACCCUCCAUUCAGGGACCAAACGUGAUCCCAAAGAAGAUGUUUUUCAGCAGAACCACUUAUUCUGGCUUCAGAACUCAAGUCCUGCCUCUGAUCGAGUUAGUGCAAUAAUCUGGGAAGGGAAUGAGUGCAAAAAGAUGGAUAUGUCUGUGUUGGAAAUAAGUGGCAUCAUCAUGAGCAGGGUUAAUGCGUAUCAGCAAGGAGUAGGUUAUCAGAUGCUGGGAAAUGUCGUCACCAUUGGAUUAGCAUUUUUCCCUUUUUUACAUCGACUUUUCCGUGAGAAGAGUUUUGACCAGCUAAAGUCUAUUUCAGCUGAGGAGAUCAUGACUCUCUUUUGUGGGGCACCACCUGUUACACCUAUUAUUAUUUUGUCUAUGAUUAAUUUUUUUGAACGAUUGUGUCUUACUUGGAUUUUUUUUUUCAUGAUGUGUGUGGCGGAAAGAACAUAUAAACAGAGAUUUUUAUUUGCAAAACUCUUCAGCCAUAUUACUUCUGCCAGGAAGGCUAGGAAAUAUGAAAUACCUCAUUUCAGACUUAAAAAGGUGGAGAACAUUAAGAUAUGGUUAUCACUGCGCUCCUUUCUCAAGAGACGGGGUCCACAGCGCUCAGUUGAUGUCGUCGUAUCUUCAGUCUUCUUACUGACGCUUUCCAUUGCUUUCAUUUGUUGUGCCCAGGUUCUGCAAGGGCAUAAAACUUUCCUGAAUGAUGCUUAUAAUUGGGAGUUUUUGAUCUGGGAAACAGCUUUACUACUUUUCUUACUGCGUCUGGCCUCAUUGGGGUCUGAAACCAAUAAGAAAUACAGCAAUGUUUCAAUAUUACUUACGGAACAGAUUAAUUUAUAUCUUAAGAUGGAAAAAAAGCCUAAUAAGAAAGAACAGCUCACUCUAGUAAAUAAUGUAUUAAAACUGUCCACCAAGUUAUUGAAAGAGCUGGACACACCAUUUAGACUCUAUGGACUGACAAUGAAUCCCUUAAUCUACAAUAUCACACGAGUAGUUAUCCUUUCUGCUGUCUCAGGUGUUAUAAGUGAUCUUCUAGGAUUUAAUAUAAGACUGUGGAAAAUUAAGUCAUAAGCUGAGUCAUGUGCCUGGACUCUCCCCUUGUUGGCACCGGUACUUACCCAUUAAGGAAGGAGACGGCUGCAGAAACCCUGAGAUACCUACCUGCUUGUUCACACACAGAGUAGUGGUGUUUUGGAGUUUCAUUUUUAAACCGGGCCUGGGCCAUCACCAGUAGCUGUUAGAAGAGGCAACCGCCAUCUUUAAUGACGAGCUAACAAUCCCUUCUUCUGCAAGGACUCAAAUAUUUCUCUCUGUAAACAUGCAGCAUGCUAUUGAGGAUAUCAACUUCCAAGCCAAACCUAGUUUUUUCAUUACUGUGGAAUUAUCUGAGUGAGACGGAUACAACACACGUGAUACAGUAGAUAACUUGGCACAGAUAUAAAGUGAGUUGUGACCACACUGUGUGCACAUCAGCAUGGACACUCACGGCGACGGGCCGGGGCACCCGAGCCGGGCAUGUCGGAUGAGCGCGCGGGAGGGCAGCCAGCCGGGGGACGGUUGGUUCUUAGCAGUCCUGAAGGCCCUUCAUGCAGCCUGGGUAACUUGAUGUUCAAAGUAAAAUGUGUGUGUUUCAGAAUUUCUGGAAAAAAAAAUGACUUUUGUUUUUGAAAAAUGCUGCUUUUUAGAAAGGAAAAAUUACGACUUGUUUUUCUUUGUUUUAUACCAAAGGUCACAGCCGUUUCUCGGCCACACCAGUAGUGCCUGUGGCUUUAUUUGCACUUGGCACCUUCCAGGGCCCUGGAGUGAUUGGUGUUUUCCUAACGGGAGAAGCGCUCUCAGGCACACCGCCCUUUAAUUCCUCUGUCUUUUCACAUAUCUGAGCUCUCAUUAAAGAUUCUUCAGUUACUGGCAUGGGGGACCCCUCAAAUACGGAAGCAGAAUGUGACGCUGGGGGAAAUGGUGACUGCUCAUCAUAAAUCACAUUUGAAGACGAAGGAUUAUUAUUAAUAUCCCAAUCACCUACAAAAAGUGAUUUGAGGGGAACAUUAUUAAAUUUUAGAAUUACAACAAAUAGGGACAGCAAGUUUUGAACUUUGACAGCCAUUCGAAUUGUACUGACUGCUUAAAUAGCCUGAGUAUGAAUAUUUCAUAAAUAAAAUUUAUGUAUGUUACCAUCUCUAUAAAGUUAGAUUACAUAGACAGCUGUACUUGUGCACGAAGGGUGGGUUGUUUAAAUGUACCCAAAAUAACAGUAGUCAUUUUUCCAGUUUAUAAUUAAUUACAUAAUAUAUGAUAUAUAAAGUCUUCCUAAGUAGUAAAGCCCAAUAAAAAACUUAGAAGAAAUAAAUAAUAAAAUUGGACCGAAUUACUUGGUCCAAGAAGCUUACUAAUUUGGCUGUCAUCAAAGGAUAGAGCUUAUGGAUAUGCCAAAAUCACUAAUCAAGGACACCCGACUGAGGUAAUCGGAAUGAGGUUCGUGGGCAUUUACAAAUAAUUUUCUUGCAUUAAGCUGUCAAAUUUAAUGUCAAAAGGAAACUGAAAAGUGCAGAAGAUAGAAAGAGAUGUAUUUAAUAGCAUCAUUUUUAAUUAAAAAGAAAAAAAAAAGAAGGAAGUGAUUUACAAGACAUGCAAAUUUACCAAGUCUUUUUAAGGAAAGACCAAGAAAAGCCCUGAAAGCCUUAAUGUUGCUCAGGUUUCACGUAGGAGCACAGACCGGAAGGAGCCAAACCUGAAGAAGGAAGAGAAAAGGCCUAGGACUAUGUAAAAAAAAAAAAAAAAAAUCACAGCGCAGUUAGCAAAGAUGUCAUUGGGAACGUAUGGUUUACAAGCAGAUGGUGGAAGGUAAUAACAGAGAAUUAUAGGCUGGAAGGGGACCGCAGGAGGUCACGUCUAUACUUGUCCCUCAGAAGCUCUACGGGGUCGGGCGGGGGUGCAGAAACUAGAAGGGACAAGUCCUGGUGGUGUGGUACUCUAGGCUAGUGCUCUCAGUUAAAACAUGAUGUUCAAAUCCUGUGGUAUUUCAAAAACCUACAAUGAAACCAAGGAACCUGAAGCCCAGUGCAGGAGAACAGACAGUCCCAUCCACCUCCCUGACGCCAGGUAGGGCCAGAGCAACUUGUUCUCCACAAGGGACCAGAGAAGCCUAAAGUCCUUCUACUCUUCAUUGAGAGAAACUUCUCUUCCAUUAAGGGAGUAGAUCUUACAAUGAGGAAGUAAGUGGCAUUUGAAGAGAUUUCAAACGUUUUUCAUGACAUUUAAAUCACUUGCCUCUGACGUCCUUGUUUUUUUACAAGCACGUUUCUCUAUAAAAGCAACUUACAAGUUUUCUAUUGAAAUUGCUUAACAUAUUCCAUCCCAACACAAAUCACGCCUGAAGCCACUUGGUAAUAUUCUAAUAACCCUGCUGUGUAAGUAGCUUUCGAUGGUUCUGGUGUUUACCUUUGAACUAGCCAGCAAAAUAGCCCCUUCAAACAGACAUUCUUUUUCUGUCAUCACCCCCUCCAUAACUUUUCAGCUCGAGGUGAGAGCCUUUCCUUACCGUGGUCAGGUAUCAGGCCAGUCCCUGGCCUCAAAAGUAGAAGAACUUUAUUCCCACCAGCCUGAAUGAGUUCAAUCGCUCGAGUAUGCGUGAUGCCUUGUGUAGGUUCCCCAUUGAUUUCAACGAUCUGGUCACCAACCUAGAGAGGGAACAUUCACAGGAACAACAUGAAACUAUGCAUCCUCCUUCGAUUCUGCUCCGUCCACUCGACAGCUGCUCAACCUUACUGACUCAUUUGCAAACUGUCUAACUUGUACACGGUGCUGUGUCAUUGCUAAAGCUGAUGGGCGGAUGGAUGACCGCAGUGGGAAGAGACAGCGUCCAGCUUUAUUUGCUCUGUAGAAAUCCUACAGGAGAAAGUCGCAUGUGAGGAGGAAACAGGAUCCGGGCACCUUGAAAUCACAAAUGAGAUCUGGAGUUUUCAACCAAAAGAGAAGUGCCAGAAGAGGUGAGGUCUCUAUGAUCCACAUGAUGCCACAGGGCUGGGUCUGAAUGACCCACUAGGAAGAGUACUUUCCAAGAGGAGUUGAAUCUGGAAUUUAUUUUCUAAAACCCGGGCUGGUGGCUCCUCAUCGUGGAAGCCUUUCCUGGCCUCCACGGAGAACUGCCCCCUCCCCUUCAUGUUGCCAGCACAGCCUGUAGAUGUAUGAGGCACUAGAUGAAUGAAAUGUUCGGAGAUAAAAACUUCAGCUUGGAGAAUAUAUCCAUAUGAAUACUGAUUUAAAACCAGUAACGGGCGUAUGCUCGUGACGUCAGUGUAAAAUAACUUCCCUAGGUAACAUAAAACCAGGGACCAGAAUGAGAUGCCUCAGUACCUCUGCUAUUUACUAGAAAUGCUGUCUAGGUAUUUCAAAAGAAAAGGGGGAAACAUGGAUACGUCAAGUGUCACUUUUGCAAAAGGACCUGAUAAAAGACAACGAUGGUAGUGAUUUUAAAAUAUAUUUCAGCAGCACCCGGGUGGCUUAGUCAAGUGUCUGACUCCUGAUUUCAGCUCAUAGUUGGUAAGAUCGAGCCCCAAGUUGGGGUCUGUGCUGACAGCAUGGAGCCUGCUUGGGAUUUUCUCACUCUGCCCCUCCCCAACUCAUGUGCACGUGCUCUCUCUCAAAAUAAAUAAAAAAAUGUUUCAAGGUGACAAGCAGAGGCUUGUUUGGCUUUAAAAGAGAUAAACCGAGGGGUGCCUGGGUGACUCGGUUAAGUGUCCAAUUUCAGUUCAGGUCAUGAUCUCGUGGUUUGUGAGUUCGAGCCCCACAUCAGGCUCCAUAUUGACAGCUCAGAGCCUGGAGCCUGCUUCGCAUUCUGUGUCUCCCUCUCUCUCUCUCUGCCCCUCCCCUACCCCGACCCUGUCUCUCUCUCAAAAAUAGACAUUAAAAAAAUCAAAACAGCGAACAAUGGAAAACUGACAUUCCAAAUAGCUCAAAAAUUUGUAAGAGCUUACGAAAACAAUCCAGAAAUAACAGAAGGUGACUCAAUAAUUAUUUAACAGAAGCUGGUAGGAAAGUCUGUAGCCACAGAUACAGCGAAGCCCAGUGGCCAGGAAGCAGGGCCUUGGAGUCAUAAUGUCUGUGGUUCACCCCUGGCUCCACCUCCAGCCGGCGGAGGGUCUCAUUUUCCUCUCUGUGAAAUGGGGACAAUAUUAGUACCCACCUCCUGGGGUCUGGGCGGGGAUUUAAUGAGAUAAAACCUGGUGACACACCAAACACAAGCAGAUGUUCCUUUUCAAGUUAUCUACUUCCUGGUUUUCCCCCAAAGGACUUCAAGUGCAUCAGGAGGAAGAUUUACCCGAGCCCGUCCCCCACUGUAUACACCGCAAAACAUGUCAACUAUGAAAAAGAAAACAGAUUAAAAGGUUUUGUUGCAUAUUUAUGGAAAAAAAAAAAAAAGGAAUCUCUUGAAUAAUUGGAGGGUAUGACAAGAUAAGUGGACUUAACAUAGAAAAAACUUAAAAAAAAAACUAACCAAAAUAAGAUAAUAAACAUAAUAGGAUGGAAAAAAGUAAUAAACAGAAUAAAAAUACUUAUAUCCAGAAUAUAUGAGUGAGAUAAAAGCUAAUACCCAGAUUUCCCUUAAUAAUAAGUGAUUGAAGAAAAAUAAUUUGAAAUAAAUACAAAUGACAAGUGACAAAUCAGUCCUGCUGAUUGAGACAAAUGGAAAUUAAGGUAGACGGUAUUUGGAGUGUGCUUUGGGCGUAUCUUGUAAAACAUGACUGAGGUUUCCCUUAAUUGCAGUCACAUUCUUUGGCUUAACUUCAGUGUCCUAAGCUGCAUAUUUCUGAUUCUUUCGGUACGACGAAUAAAUUGCAAUAAAGCUUGUAAUUGAACAGA